rnacentral:rRNA from 1 species
GACGAACGCUGGCGGCGUGCCUAAUACAUGCAAGUCGAACGGACAGGCCAUGCUUUUGCUGGGUGCUCGUGUGCGGAAGGGGUGAGUAUCACGCGAGUAUCCUGUCCUUGUCUUACGGAUAUCUUCAGGAAACUGGGGCUCAAAUAGGAUAGGAGCUCUUGCUGCAUGGUGUGGGUUGGAAAGUUUCGGUGGUUGUGUAUGUACUCGCGGCAUAUCAGCUUGUUGGUGGGGUGGUGGCUUACCAAGGCUAUGACGGGUAGCCGGCCUGAGCGGGUGACCGGCCACACUGGGACUGAGAUGAGGCCGAAGCUCCGACGGGAGGCAACAGUGGGGAAGCUUGAAGGAGGGGCGGAAGCCUAGUGCAGCAACGCCGCGUGCGGGAUGACGGCCUUAGUGUUGUAAACCGCUUGCGCCUGUGACGAAGCGUGAGUGGCGGUAAUGUGUAAAGAAGCACCGGCUAACUACGGU